rnacentral:lncRNA from 1 species
UCAGUGGCAUUUAAGGUUUGGCCUCACCUGUAAUCCACUGCUGUAGCCCAGGAAGACACUGCUGCUGAAGGUGUGAUGACCAUUAACACUGCUUUACAAGAAGUGCAAAGACCUCCCUCAUCCCAACACAGGAUAGUCUCAAACUUCCAAAGGCUCAGACAAGGGCCAAGCCCAACUCUGUGUGCUCGUAUAUAACUGUGCUGAGCCCAUGAAUCUCAUGCUGGUGGAGGCACUUUGUGCCGAGCACCAAAUCAACCUG